ACUGAAUCUGUCACACCGUAGAGAGGCAGGAGCCGCCAUGAAGGCCUUUUAUCAGAUCCGGCUUCCCUGCAGUGCAUAAAACGCAUUUGUGUUGUCUGGUGAAUAAAUCUGGCAGGCUCAUUUGAGUAUUUAAGGAUGAUUAGUUUACGCUGCAGCAGUCAUGGCUGUCUUUAACAGGUCUGCCAGAGGUAUCAAGGACUGGUAGCAGGCCAAAGGGAGACAGCAUUACUCAGCUGAAAGCCUCCCUCUGCAGUCUCCCAGCUGCUGCUGCUGCUGCUGCUGCUCCGGAGCCAGAGAGGAGAGUCCCCUCGCCCCCCUGCACAGACAGAGACAAAAGGCCUGAUUCGCCUGCUGAACACUGCCCCCUUUCUCUAUCCGUCCCUGCAUGCACGGCCGUAGGGUGGUGGCUUCAGGAAAAAAAAAAAGCUAGGCCCGGACUAAAGGCUAAAAUCUAGGACUGACCCAGUGAAGGAGAGUGGGAAGAGGGGGGAGGGGUGGAGGAGGAUGGGGACUGGAAUGGUUGGGGCUGAGUAAAAGCAGGUGCUGAGGCCUCUGCAGGAGAAGAUUUUUUUCUUUUUUCCUGAAUAUCUCAGUGGGAAACAAUCUGACGAGGGUAUGCCACGUUUACCUCUGUCUAUGCAUGAACGUGCAUGUCUGUGUUACUGUGUGUCUCUGUGGUGACAUAUGCGGGCCCGGGGUGGCCAUGUCUUCGAAGGCAAUCCGGGUGCAUGAAUUGCCUGUGUUUCCCCACUGCAGAUUCUCUGUCCUGGAUGUAAUGCUGCUGCUGAUGAACGUUUGAAAACAAACCAGUGUGUCUGGGCUGAAAGCACUGAGGAGGAAACAGGCCAAGGUAGCGGACUGCGCUUCUCCUCCCAUCGUGGUUACCUCAUUCCGCCUCAUCAUUUCCAUGUGUUGAGUGUGCUAUUCCUCUCGCCCAGAGGGGUGAAUCUCAUUCAAAUACUGUGCUCCGGUUUCAAUAAAUCUUUAACAAGGUACAUGUCGUCUGCUGAAAAAAAAAGCUUGCAGUGUUUCCAGGGAGGUGGGCACACCGCUUCUGGCCGUGUGUUUCUGAGGCCGUACUGCAGCACGGGGCUUUGUGUUGGGCGACCGGAACCAGAUGAAACCGGUUUGAGGGAGACAGAGGGCUGACAGGAACAAUGCCGUCUCUGUGCUCCACCGAGGGAAGACGUAUCCCAGGCGAUCCCCAUUGCAGCCCUCCGCAGCUCUGCCUCUGGCGAACCAGGCAACAGACAGGGACGCUGCCGCGCGCUCGCUGGCUGCUGGCUGGAUGUCGGCGUGCAGAGGGGGGGGCAGGGAGAUUUGAGAA
ensembl:lncRNA